CACAAUGGGCGCAAGCCUGAUGCAGCCAUGCCGCGUGUAUGAAGAAGGCCUUCGGGUUGUAAAGUACUUUCAGCAGUGAGGAAGGUGGAUAUGUUAAUAGCAUAUUCAUUUGACGUUAGCUGCAGAAGAAGCACCGGCUAACUCCGUGCCAGCAGCCGCGGUAAUACGGAGGGUGCGAGCGUUAAUCGGAAUUACUGGGCGUAAAGCGCAUGCAGGUGGUUUGUUAAGUCAGAUGUGAAAGCCCGGGGCUCAACCUCGGAAUUGCAUUUGAAACUGGCAAACUAGAGUACUGUAGAGGGGGUAGAAUUUCAGGUGUAGCGGUGAAAUGCGUAGAGAUCUGAAGGAAUACCGGUGGCGAAGGCGGCCCCCUCGGACAGAUACUGACACUCAGAUGCGAAAGCGUGGGGAGCAAACAGGAUUAUAUACCCUGGUAG
rnacentral:rRNA from 1 species